rnacentral:rRNA from 1 species
ACAGCAGCCGCCGCGGGAAAACGUAGGGUGCGAGCGUUAAUCGGAAUUACUGGGCGUAAAGCGUGCGCAGGCGGUUUUGUAAGACAGGCGUGAAAUCCCCGGGCUCAACCUGGGAAUGGCGCUUGUGACUGCAAAGCUAGAGUGCGGCAGAGGGGGGUGGAAUUCCACGUGUAGCAGUGAAAUGCGUAGAGAUGUGGAGGAACACCGAUGGCGAAGGCAGCCCCCUGGGCCAAUACUGACGCUCAUGCACGAAAGCGUGGGGAGCAAACAGGAUUAGAUACCCGUGUAGUCCCUGUCUCUUAUAC